AUAAUUUUAUCAUAUAGUUUGUUUUUGUUUUUUUUUUGUUUUUAGAAAGAGUCCCCCACUCCGACUCACACUCCUACACAGUCGGUGGCGGUAAUGCGCCCUCACGUUGGUGCCACCCGCCAUUUAAAACUCCAGCAAGAAGAAGAAGUGACCCGGAAGUAAACAGAAGGUUAGCAGCGCUAGCAGCGUUAGCUGCGUUAGCUUGUAUUCGGAGGACGGCGGGGUUCUGUUCGGACGUUCUGAGGUUUUUGGACAGAAGCAUGUCUUCCCUUCAGUCUCUGAGAGAGUUGAUCAGCGAGCGACUAGCUGCUGCUGCUGAAGAAAUCUGCAGACUCUGUGAAUGAACCAUCGUCCAGUACGAGGAGGAGCUCUGUCGUCAGCGCAGACUGCUGGAUAUCUGCUGGAAACCACAGCUUCAGCUCCACCACAUCGGUAUGCAGCUGCUUCUGGGGUUGACUGUAUCUGAGCUUUGGACCGAGAGGCUCCGCCCCCUUGGGGAAAUCCAUAGACUUUUAACGUAGCCUCCUAGUUUUGUUGCUUAAAGUUAGCUAACGUCACACCCCAAAGCUAACAUUAGCAUAGCAUAAAAAUCACUGUAAUAUCUUUUCUAUCCAGUUGUACAGUUCUGAUCCAGAUUCCAGUUCUGAUCCAGAUUCCAGUUCUGAUCCAGAUUCCAGUUCUGAUCCAGAUUCCAGUUCUGAUCCAGAUUCCAGCUCAGACAAAGAGGAAAACAAAGACGUUCAUGGAUCUAUUUGUCUGUUAGUGGUUGCAUCAGAAUGGGGCGGAGCAUGGAGCUUCUGGUUCUGCCCAUUUUUAUCUGAUUCAGAUCCAACAAGAUUUGAAUAAAGAAACUCAGAAAUGUAGUUUAAAUCUUAAAUACUUUAAUGUCUGUCCUCCAUCAGACUAAAUCUGUCAUUGCAGAAAAUAAAAGUAUCUGCAAACAAAAACCAAAAUCUACAAGAUAAAAGAAAUGAUGCUGCAAAUGAAAGAAAUGCUGCAAACAGAGAAGUCUCAACGAUGAAGAGGAUUAUGGGAGAUGUUGUUACCGGAGCACCUCUAUAAGAAGAGGAAAGAACAGGAGAACGAGUUGGAAACAGAUGGAGAUGUGAAUGUCUCUUCACACAACAUAAACACCAGAGGGAUAGGCUCCUCCCCCGUGGUCACUUGACCUGUGAGGCGUUUGAAACAGUCAGAACUGGAGGAUGAAGCUGCUGCACUUAAAGCAGAACAGAUCCAUGAAUGUGUUGAUUUGGAGACGGCGUGUUGGUAGACGCUAAUGCUGCUAAUGAUGCUAAUGCUAACUAGCUUGUGACGGGUGUAAAGUUUGUCUUUACAACACGGUGGAUUGAAUCCACUGUGUUUUAGCAGCAUGUUUGUAGCAUUACAGAACCAGUGUUUCACUGACACUGUAACCUGUCAGGUGAUGGGUUGAAGGCUCCGCCCCCUUAAAGGUGCAGAGGUUACAUAAUCACAGUAAAGCAGAACAUAAACUGGGUUUUGUUAUGGUUUAAUAUAACAUGUGAUCAGCUGGAGGCAGAGUUAGAACAUUUGGAGUAAAUCUGUGUUUUCUCUGCAGGUUAAACCCAGAAAAACAUCAGAAUUUAUUUCUAGAAUUGAAGCUUUAUUUUGAAAUGAACUGAUCCAACAUCUUAGUGUUCUGUUUCAUUCAGGCUCUAUUUUAAACCUUUUGCUUUAAUUAGCUGUUAAGUUUGUAAUAUUUAUGAUGCUUUUACUUUGUUACUUGAAUAAAACCAAACAAACCCAGAUGCAUCAUGGUCCUUCUGUUGUAUUUAAAGUGUGACAGGAGAUAAAUAUUUAAACCUCGAUAACCUUCUGAUGAAGACACAUUUCUGUAAUGAGUGUUCACAUUUCUACAAAUACAGUUAUUGGUUUAUAUCGUUAUAGAUCGUUCUCCCUCAAUAUGAAAUAAACUAUAUUGUGAUGUUAGAAAUUCUCUUUCAGCAGCUCUAUUUCUAGUGUUUCUGUUGUUACAUGUAGAGUUUGUCUUUAGUUUGCUGAGUUUCUUGUUUGUCUCAUUUUUACCAUAAAAACUGUUAAAAACAACAAAAACAUCAUUUUCAUCAGAGUGGAUCAGAAUGAAGCUGAUUGUUUGUAAAGUUGCUUUUCAGUACAAAGCUGCUGUUGUCAGAAUCUGCUGGAAGAGCUGAUCAGGAUAAGGGAUCAGGAUCAGGGAUCAGGAUCAGGAUCAGGUUUGUUUAUUUAAUGACUUCAUCCAGAUUAUUUAAUGACUUCAUCCAGAUUAUUUAAUCCAUCCAGAUUAUUUAAUGACUUCAUCC
rnacentral:lncRNA from 1 species